UUUGUAUUCCCUCCGUCCCAAAAUUCUUUUCUUAAAUUUGUCUAGAUACAAAUGUAUCAAGUCACGUUUUAGUAUUAGAUACAUCCAUAUCUAGACAAAUCUAAGACAAGAAUUUUGGGACGGAGGAAGUAUUUU
rnacentral:pre_miRNA from 1 species